AAUAUAUUCAAUGUAUUUUAUUUACCAAUUUAUUAUUAUUUAUCACGUUUUCAUUCUUUUGCUGUAGGGUCCUCCAGAAAUGUUGCUGCAGAGUCAGAGAUGUGCUGCUCUAUAGUAAAGAUCAACUAAAGGAGCGGGAAGGCCUGCGAUCGGAUGCCGAGGUUGCUUUGUUUCUUCUCGAUAGGUGAGUAACAUUGGUUUUGCUUUGUUUCACAGAACUAAUAUAUGCUGGCUAUUGCUUGAAUAUGCUCGUGUGUCAUGUUCGCUUGUUUGUUCAUCUGCAAUCGUAUUGUCGUUCCCAUCAGCUAUGAUAAAGACACAUUCAUUUCCACACCCUAUCAGCCUGGAGCAUCUAAACCUCCUCCUGUUUCAAGCGUCAACUCACAAAGUGUGUCCGAAAAGUAAGAUAAUAUGUUUAAUACAGCAGAUUCCACCAUAAUCGUUGCCUGGGUUGUGUACGUAUGUGGGGGGCGGAGCUAUCAAAAUAGGGACGAGACCCUUUUGGGGUAGGGGCGUGAUUGUUUUGGUGAUUUGAAAUAUCAACAUUGGCUACCAGAAAUCACUUACCCCACCUUUAAUGUUAAAAUAUCCUUUUAUGCAUAAAACAGGUGUAAUACUUAAACUUUGCCUCAACUAUGUAAGAUCAGCAUAGUGAGUUGAUGUGGUUGUAGUUUUAUGGCUGCUGACAAUAUAGUGCAGACAAAGUGUUCAUGAGUUGUUACCUGUCCUUGAGCCACUGCUAGAAAACACAGUACAAGUGCCACAACCCAGGUCCCCCUCAGCGCCACAGCCCAGACAUCCCUCAGUGCUGCGGCUGCAGUACAGGCACCCCUCAGCGCUGCGGUGUCAGUCCAGGCACCCCUCAGUGCCGCGGCCACAGGUACCCCUCAGUGUGCAGGUAAAGCCCAAGCAGCCCUCAGUUCAGCUGGCACAUCCCAGGCCCCUUCAGUGCCAUGCCCGACCACGGGACCAUCUCAGUGCCAUGGCCAACAUACAGGUGCAUUCAGGGCAGUUGCUAAGUGGGGUUGUAGAGUACAGGUAAGGGUUGGGGAGUGCAGGUAAGAGUUGGAGACUAAAGGUAAGAGUUCUAGACUAAAGGUCAGAGUUAUAGUCUAAAGGUAAGAGUUAUAGACUAAAGUUAACAUUUAUUGACUAAAGGUAAGAGUUGCAGACUAAAGGUAAGAGUUGCAGACUAAAGGUAAGAGUUAUAGACUAAAGUUAACAGUUAUAGACUAAAGGUUAGCGUUGUAGACUAAAGGUAAGUGUUGCAGACUAAAGGUAAGAGUUGUAGAGUACAGGUAAGUCCUGUGAAAUACAGGUAAGGUUUGUAGAGUACAGGUAAGAGUUGCAGACAAUAGGUAAGAGUCGCAGACUAAAGGUAAGAGUUAUUGACUAAAAAUAAGAUAGUCCUAGACUAAAGGUCAGAGUUGCAGACUAAAGGUUAG
ensembl:lncRNA